rnacentral:rRNA from 1 species
GCAUAUCAAUAAGCGGAGGAAAAGAAACCAACAGGGAUUGCCUCAGUAACGGCGAGUGAAGCGGCAAAAGCUCAAAUUUGGAAUCUCAGUCUUUCAGGCUGCGAGUUGUAAUUUGAAGACGUAUUUUGAAGUAAGCACAUGUCGAAGUUCCUUGGAACAGGACGUCACAGAGGGUGAGAAUCCCGUGCGAUGUGUUCACUGCUUCAUGUAAAAUGCAGUCGAAGAGUCGAGUUGUUUGGGAAUGCAGCUCUAAGUGGGUGGUAAAUUCCAUCUAAAGCUAAAUAUUGGCGAGAGACCGAUAGCGAACAAGUACAGUGAUGGAAAGAUGAAAAGAACUUUGAAAAGAGAGUGAAAAAGUACGUGAAAUUGUUGAAAGGGAAGGGCUUGAGAUCAGACUCGGGCAACCGGGCCAGCAUGGGGUGGGGGAGUAGGAUAACCCUGCAGGAAAGUGGCUUCGCUUCGGUGGAGUGUUAUAGCCUGUAGCUAUACUGCUACCCUCGCCCGAGGACUGCGGAAACAAGGAUGCUGGCAUAAUGAUCUUAAGCCGCCCGUCUUGAAACACGGACCAAGGAGUCUAACGUCUAUGCGAGUGUUUGGGUGUAAAACCCGUACGCGGAAUGAAAGUGAACGUAGGUGGGAGCUUUAUUGCGCACCAUCGACCGAUCCUGAUGUCUUCGGAUGGAUUUGAGUAAGAGCAUAGCUGUUGGGACCCGAAAGAUGGUGAACUAUGCCUGAAUAGGGUGAAGCCAGAGGAAACUCUGGUGGAGGCUCGUAGCGGUUCUGACGUGCAAAUCGAUCGUCGAAUUUGGGUAUAGGGGCGAAAGACUAAUCGAACCAUCUAGUAGCUGGUUCCUGCCGA